AUUGAGAGUGGUGAGGCUUCAAUUGCGAAUGCGUCAUCAGUUGAUAUGCAGCAGGUAACAGUCAUGAGAUUGAUGACACAAUGCAAUGAAAAGUCUUUUGAGCUGGAGGUGAGUACUUCACAGCACGAUAAUAAGUUGUGUGAUGCACAUUGAAUUAAUAGUUAUACUUAAGUUGGUCCUUUCUGACUUGUUUCUCACAAAAAUUAUUGUACUAUCAUGCUUAUUUAGAAUGGAUGCUGGCAUUUAUGAAUUUACUGGGAAAAGAGUAAUAUGGUUUCUUUUACAAACAUGUUUUUUCGGGUACUAAUGCUUUAAGUUCUUGGGAGGUAAUUCCAGCUGCUUAAGUCUCUUUCCUUAAAUAUUUCAACUUUAGAAUGUCCUUUGCCUGUUUUAGAGGAAGAAAGAUAAGUAACUCCUUCCACGGUUUUGUUUUGCAUGGUUUUAAACCAAACUCUUGGCCCAUGUAACCAUUUCCUUAAAUCUAUGCCCAAACCUUAUCAUGGAUGCUUUGUUCUAUGGCAAUCUGUUCACUGAAUUCGUGCUUUUUGAGUGGUUGGAAACACUGAUUUAAGUUUGUUCAUCAUCUAAAUUGAACUGUUUUGCCAAUUGAUGCAGAUAAAGUCAGCAGAUAACCGUGUCCUUCAGGAACAACUG
rnacentral:misc_RNA from 1 species